UGCGCCUGCUCACGCCCCCUCCCAUCCUGAGCUCUGUGCUGUGCGGCGCCGCUGCAGAUAACAUGCCCCUCUGUGACCACCGGCAGCAAUGAACGACUCGGUUUGAAGGUAGCGGCUCUGCGGCAUGGAUGUCCGCUGACUGAAGGAGCAGCCUUUAUGGAUUGGAGCUCAACGUCGCCGGAGCAAAUCUGGAGAAAUUCGGAGAGCACUGUGGGGGGGAAUUCAUCAUCUAAGAGCACAGGUCACAUGACAGAUUUGUGUAGUGAUGAAGCAGACAACUCUCCUCCUCUUCAGCCUCACACACUCAAGCAGUUUGAGCAGGUGAG